GAAAAGAUAAAGAUGAGUAAAGUAUAUAUUUAAAAAUCUGCAGAGAGCUUUUGUAUGGUGUGAAAAAGUGAUUUGAGAAUAUAGAAAAUGGACUCUGAAUCUGUUAGCUGAAUGAUUAAGCUGACACGUAGUGGCGUACGUUAUGACCGCCGGAAGUACUUGAUUAUGAGUGCUUUUUUGAGAUGUGCUUCAACAUGCACAAAUUCGGGUGGUACCGCGUGGAUAGAUUCUUCGCCCCUAUA
rnacentral:ncRNA from 1 species